rnacentral:rRNA from 1 species
GUGAAUCAUCGAGUCUUUGAACGCACCUUGCGCUCCUUGGUAUUCCUUGGAGCAUGCCUGUUUGAGUGUCAUGAAUAUCUCAAUCUGCGAAAGGCUCGCGGACUUGGACUUGGAGGCUGCUGGUUCCGCUAGCUCCUCUUAAAUGCAUUAGCUGGAACCUUAUGUGUAUCUCCGGUGUGAUAAUAUCUACUCCGUCGGAUCACAAAGUCGUUGACUUACAAGGAUCUGCUUCUAAUCGUCCUUUCAGGACAAUCUUUGACAUCUGACCUCAAAUCAGGUAGGACUACCCGCUGAACUUAAGCAUAUCAAUAAGCGGAGG